UAAGUGGUUCUAAGUGGUUCAUUUUUGUCCUAAAGUAGAAUGAAUACGAAAUAACAAUUUAAAAAAAAAAAAUUAAAAAUAAUGGUUAAUACACACCCUGUUCCCUCAGUGUCUUCACUGUCCUUCAGGCAUACGUUCCCACAAACUCAGUCUACAAAGCUCCUCCAGGAUAAAGGAAUUUGUGAAUAUUGAAUAUAAAGAAUAUGGAUUCCUGGGUUGUUUCAUGAUAUCCUAAAUCAAGUACUGACCAGAUUUAUUCAACCACUAUUUAGAGGUUCUGAUUAUGGAUGAGAUAAGGGUAAAAGAACACACAGGGAAUGGGGGAGUGCAAAGCAUUAAUGUUUAAGGAGGAAAGUGGAGUGGAAGAAGGUAUUGUACUUACACAGCUUUAGUCCUUUUGUCUAUUCCACCUUACUGAAGAGCAAAGCCGAGCUUUUAUUGUGUGUCAGAAGAGCUUUAUGUUCACAUAUGUAGGAAGAACAGCCUGGACUUCAGAAAGCUCACUGGCACCUAAAAAUCUCCAGCUGUUCUCCUGUGUUGUUACAAGGUCUCCUAAAAGCACCAACUCAGUGACAAACACAUGGCUUACUAUAAUGAGAAGAUGAGGAAGGAAAAGUACUACACCACCCAAGUUGCUUCAGGACUGGUGCCACAGGAAUGUGUCAUCUUUUCUCAGAACCAUUUUCACUCGCAAGGAAUAGGAAGACUCUGCCCCUGCAGUCCUCAGCUGUGCAGAUGGGGAUGA
rnacentral:lncRNA from 1 species